rnacentral:lncRNA from 1 species
AGUUUUUGCAGAUUCUUCAGGAUUUUCUAUGUAUAUAACCUUGUUGUACAAAGACGGACUUACUUCUUUUUCAGUCUUUAUGCUCGUCUCUCUCUGGUUGCAGUAUGAAGAUCUGACUGGAAGAACACACGCACAGAUGCAGGGAAACCAGUUAAGAGAUCGGAGCAGCUGUCCAGGUGAGUGAAACUGGCAUCCUGAAUUAGAUUCAUGGUGGUGAAGAUAAGGAGAUGUGAACAAACUAGAUAUUUGGGAGGUAGGAAAAAUAGAACUUAGUGAUUGUGACCAGGCGCAGUGGCUCACACCUGUAAUCCCAGCACUUUGGGAGGCCGAGGCAGGCAGAUCACUUGAGGUCAGGAGUUCGAGACCAGUCUCGCCAACAUGAUGAAACCCGCUACUCUA